UGCAAGUCGAGCGGACAGAUGGGAGCUUGCUCCCUGAUGUUAGCGGCGGACGGGUGAGUAACACGUGGGUAACCUGCCUGUAAGACUGGGAUAACUCCGGGAAACCGGGGCUAAUACCGGAUGGUUGUUUGAACCGCAUGGUUCAGACAUAAAAGGUGGCUUCGGCUACCACUUACAGAUGGACCCGCGGCGCAUUAGCUAGUUGGUGAGGUAACGGCUCACCAAGGCGACGAUGCGUAGCCGACCUGAGAGGGUGAUCGGCCACACUGGGACUGAGACACGGCCCAGACUCCUACGGGAGGCAGCAGUAGGGAAUCUUCCGCAAUGGACGAAAGUCUGACGGAGCAACGCCGCGUGAGUGAUGAAGGUUUUCGGAUCGUAAAGCUCUGUUGUUAGGGAAGAACAAGUGCCGUUCAAAUAGGGCGGCACCUUGACGGUACCUAACCAGAAAGCCACGGCUAACUACGUGCCAGCAGCCGCGGUAAUACGUAGGUGGCAAGCGUUGUCCGGAAUUAUUGGGCGUAAAGGGCUCGCAGGCGGUUUCUUAAGUCUGAUGUGAAAGCCCCCGGCUCAACCGGGGAGGGUCAUUGGAAACUGGGGAACUUGAGUGCAGAAGAGGAGAGUGGAAUUCCACGUGUAGCGGUGAAAUGCGUAGAGAUGUGGAGGAACACCAGUGGCGAAGGCGACUCUCUGGUCUGUAACUGACGCUGAGGAGCGAAAGCGU
rnacentral:rRNA from 1 species